rnacentral:rRNA from 1 species
CAACGCGUGGGCAACCUGGCCUUAAGAAAAAGGAUAGCCCCCGGAAACGGGGAGUAAUACUUUAUGAGAAUGAAAGAGGGCAUCCUACUUUCAUUCAAAAGCGCAAGCGCUUAAGGAUGGGCCCGCGUAUCAUUAGCUAGUUGGUGAGAUAACAGCCCACCAAGGCAACGAUGAUUAGCCGGUCUGAGAGGGCGAACGGCCACAUUGGAACUGAGAGACGGUCCAAACUCCUACGGGAGGCAGCAGUGGGGAAUAUUGCGCAAUGGAGAAGAACUCUGACGCAGCAAUACCGCGUGAGCGAAGAAGGUCUUCGGAUCGUAAAGCUCUGUUAUCAGGGAAGAAGAAAAUGACGGUACCUGAUGAGCAAGUCCCGGCUAACUACGUGCCAGCAGCCGCGGUAAUACGUAGGGGACAAGCGUUGUCCGGAAUCACUGGGCGUAAAGGCGCGCAGGCGGUGAUUUAAGCAGGAUGUGAAAGGCUACGGCUCAACCGUAGACAUGCACCU